GAGGAUGUGGCUUUGAUUCCUGGCCUCACUCAGUGGGUUAGGGAAUAGGAGAAGAAAUAAGUUCUGGUAAAUCAUCAAAACAACAAAACAAUGUUUGCAAUAUUUCACUAAUAUUUUUUUAAAAGUAUAUGUGACAUGGAAUAUCUAUGGAAAAAUAUAACAUAUAUGUAAAAAUUUUUAAAAGCUGUUGGGUGAAAAUAUAAGUGGCAUUUUUUAGCUUGAUCAUGUUGCUUUAUGUUUUUAUGGUGAGGGAAAAAAAAAGAAUGAAUUACCCCAAACUAAAGAUCAAAUGAGUGGCAAAAAGUGCCAAAUUUCAGGUCACUUUCUUACGCUCUGAUGUAAUCAGAGUGAGAUACACUUUGUCUGUUUAGUGUGAAUUGACAAAAUCACAUUUGUUAACAUGGGUAAUAAACCACUUACUAAAAUUGUUAGGUUAAACUGGAACAAAGUGG
rnacentral:lncRNA from 1 species